CCGGGCUGACUUACUGAAUAGUUCUUGCCGGUGAAAUAACCGCUGUUGAUUGGUUCACGUGGUGACGUCAUCUCGUUCUAAGCGGGUACUUCGAAAUGGAAGGGAAGCUGGACGCUGAGACCGUCAAAGUGUACGGAGGCCUGGCAGCUGCCUUUGAAAAGCUAACCAGCGAAGCAGCUGCUUUGGGAGAACAUUCCAAACGAGUCAGAGAACACAAUGUGGCCCUUAAAAAACUGAACAAAAGCUUCAAUGAGGUCCAGUCGAGACUUGAGCGUGUGGCAGCUAUAAGGCCCGGAUUUAGCCAAGUGAACCUAUGAAGCAUUUCCAGAGAAUCUUUGAGUUGACAUUUUGUAUGAAUACAGUGCCAUUGAAUAUGGCUUUGAGAACUGUGUUCUAACAGUCGUUACCAUGAUUUAUGUUUCCCGGAUGCUGUACAAUAUAGAAUUAAAUGACAAAAAAAUUCAUUUUUUUGCCAUAGCAAGGUCAAGUCUCCCAAAGGUGAGAACUUCAUCCCAUAUCAGGAAGUGACCCACACAAUGUGCUGCUUUAUAUUCUAAACCGUAUAUAUUUUGGUUGUCUUAGGAGCCUGUAGUAGGCAGAUGUGACCAUGUGAAGAGUACUUCUUUCAUUUGCUUUGUGAUUGGAUUAUUUGGAGGUAGACAUAUGUAAAUAUUUUAAUUGCAUGCUGGGGUCCUCUAGUGACCAAAUAGAGGUAUAGCCUCAUAUUGUACAACAAAUCCCAAAAGCAUGCUUUUUUUAAGAUAAAAACUAUAAUUUUAUUACAUAAUUUAAAAUGUCAAACAAUCCCCACAUGGAGCCUAACACGUUUCGUGCUUACCUAGCACUUAGUCAUAGGCAAUCUCUGAUAGCUCAGUUAUUUUUAAUCCUUAAAUACCAUCUCUCAUAGACCCUCCCUGACUUUUAACUUUGGGACUGCUAAAACAGGGCAUUCUGCAGAACAGCAGUCUUUGAAAGUCAGAGGAGCACUUAGGGAUGCCCAUUUAUCGAAUUCAUGUGAGGUUUUUUUUUUUUUUAACUGCUAUAAAUUCAAAUAUACUCAAAAUUCGAUUGGGAGGGUAUUUAAGAAAAAAAUCAGAUAUCUAAAACUUUAACGAAUUUUACCGACCUGAAGAUACGAAUCGAAUUUGAUUUAUUCAAGUUGAGUUUUUACAGGAAGGCUAAUAACAUCUUCAAAUUGGUCACUGGACCUCUCACAUUGACUUAUACAUGAACUUGGCU